rnacentral:rRNA from 1 species
GAUGAACGCUGGCGGCGUGCCUAAUACAUGCAAGUCGAGCGAACGGACGAGAAGCUUGCUUUUCUGAUGUUAGCGGCGGACGGGUGAGUAACACGUGGAUAACCUACCUAUAAGACUGGGAUAACUUCGGGAAACCGGAGCUAAUACCGGAUAAUAUUUUGAACCGCAUGGUUCAAAAGUGAAAGACGGUCUUGCUGUCACUUAUAGAUGGAUCCGCGCUGCAUUAGCUAGUUGGUAAGGUAACGGCUUACCAAGGCAACGAUGCAUAGCCGACCUGAGAGGGUGAUAGGCCACACUGGAACUGAGACACGGUCCAGACUACUACGGGAGGCAGCAGUAGGGAAUCUUCCGCAAUGGGCGAAAGCAUGACGGAGCAACGCCGCGUGAGUGAUGAAGGUCUUCGGAUCGUAAAACUCUGUUAUUAGGGAAGAACAUAUGUGUAAGUAACUGUGCACAUCUUGACGGUACCUAAUCAGAAAGCCACGGCUAACUACGUG